GAUGAACGCUGGCGGCGUGCUUAACACAUGCAAGUCGAACGGAAAGGCCCUAGUUUUGUUGGGUACUCGAGUGGCGAACGGGUGAGUAACACGUGGGUGAUCUGCCCUGCACUUCGGGAUAACCCUGGGAAACUGGGUCUAAUACCGGAUAGGACCACCUUCUGCAUGGUGUGGUGGAAAGAUUUUCGGUGUGGGAUGAUCUAGUGGCCUAUCAGCUUGUUGGUGGGGUAAUGGUCUACCAAGGCGUCGUCGGGGAGCCGGCCUGGGGGGGUGGACGGCCACAGUGGGGCUGAGGUACGGCCCAGACUGCUACGGGAGGCAACAGGGGGGAAUAUUGCACAAUGGGGGCAAGCCUGAUGCAGCGACGCCGCGUGGGGGAAGACGGCCUUCUGGUUGUAAACUCCUUUGGGUAGGGACGAAGCGUUAUGUGACGGUACCGGGAGAAGAAGCACGGGCUAACUACGUG
rnacentral:rRNA from 1 species